rnacentral:rRNA from 1 species
UAGUCCACGCCGUAAACGAUGAGAACUAGGUGUAGCGGGUAUUGACCCCUGCUGUGCCGAAGUUAACGCAUUAAGUUCUCCGCCUGGGGAGUACGGCCGCAAGGCUAAAACUCAAAGGAAUUGACGGGGACCCGCACAAGCGGUGGAGCAUGUGGUUUAAUUCGACGCAACGCGAAGAACCUUACCUGGGUUUGACAUCCCGAUCGUACUUUCUGGAAACAGUUAGGUCAGCUUGGCUGGAUCGGUGACAGGUGCUGCAUGGCUGUCGUCAGCUCGUGUCGUGAGAUGUUGGGUUAAGUCCCGCAACGAGCGCAACCCUUGUCCUUAGUUGCCAUCAUUUAGUUGGGCACUCUAGGGAGACUGCCGGUGUUAAGCCGGAGGAAGGUGGGGAUGACGUCAAGUCCUCAUGGCCCUUAUGACCGGGGCUACACACGUGCUACAAUGGUACGGACAAAGUGACGCUACACUGUGAAGUCAAGCAAAUCACAAAACCGUAUCUCAGUUCGGAUUG